GUGAGGAAUAUUGCGCAAUGGGCGAAAGCCUGACGCAGCGACGCCGCGUGAGGGACGACGGCCUUCGGGUCGUAAAGCUCUGUCAUCAGGGACGAACGGCCGGUGGAGUGGAAAGCCACCGGAUUGACGGUACCUGAGAAGGAAGCCACGGCUAACUACGUGCCAGCAGCCGCGGUAAUACGUAGGUGGCAAGCGUUGUCCGGAAUUAUUGGGCGUAAAGCGCGCGCAGGUGGGAUCUUAAGUCCAUUUUUAAAGUUCGGAGCUCAACUCCGUGAUGGGAUGGAAACUGGGAGUCUUGAGUACCGGAGAGGAAAGCGGAAUUCCCCGUGUAGCGGUGAAAUGCGUAGAUAUGGGGAGGAACACCAGUGGCGAAGGCGGCUUUCUGGACGGUGUCUGACACUGAGGCGCGAAAGCCAGGGGAGCGAACGGGAUUAGAUACCCGAGUAGUCC
rnacentral:rRNA from 1 species